CGAACAGUUAGUGACCUCCGCUUAGUUCAGCGAUUAUUCGGAAAUUUUUAUAAAUUUUUUUAACUAUUUUCUUGUGUUUUGUGGGUGCUGUAGACGUUUAAUACAGGCAGCGGUGCACUCGAUCUGACAAUGGGCCGGUACAAGAGGACGACGAAUAGACAGAGCUGGAAUGAAGAGAGUAUGAAAUUUGCUGUGCAAGCCGUUUUAGAUGGGCAAAUGGGGCACCGAAAGACUUCUGCUAAUUUCAACGUUCCUCAGACAACACUUGAGAGACGGAUAAAAAAGGCUCGUGAACUUGGGUUGACAGCUAGUAAAUCUUCAGAAAAAAUGCUUGGACAAAUUCUGUGUCAAACACUUCCAAUGCUGUAACGUUGGUACGCCCAACCCAACUUGAUUGGUUUACUCCUGGAUCAUCCAUGGAGCAGCCUUCCACUUCUUUUGCUAUAAUGUCACCAAAGUGUCUGAUGCCACCACCCCAAGAAAAAGAAAGAAUCAGAAAUACAACACGUAACAAAAGACGCGGUAAAACCGCAGUUUUGACGUCGUCACCUUACAAGAAAGAACUAGAAGACGAAGAAAGAGAAAGAAAAAUGAAAACGAACCUAAAAAGAACCUGUUUAAAACAUCUAAAAUGCUGAAUAAAACAGAACCAAAGAAAGUUGGCAGCAGUAGCCAUAAAAAAAUCUUCCAAAAAAUAAUGUUGGUUCCACAUCAAAGAAAAUGAAGUUCGAAAACCAGAACGAGUCUUCCUCGUCUGAAGAAGAGGCCAGUGAUAAGGCUUGCAUAUUUUGCAGUGAGAUUUUUUCUGCUUCUAAAGACAAAGAAGGGUGGAUUAAGUGCUCAGGAUGCUCUGGUUGGGCCCACGACGCAUGUACAAACGCAGAAGAAGAAGACGACUAUUUCGUGUGCGAUUUCUGUAGACGUAACACUUAAAAACUCACAAAAAAAUAUUUUAAAAUUGUUUUGUGCCUCUGCUUUAUCCUGUCACAAGUGUAAUAAUAAGUAUUUGUCAUAAAUUUAAAAUGUGUACUAUUGUAAUUAAAAAGUUAAAAAAAAA
rnacentral:lncRNA from 1 species